UACGAAGGGUGCAAGCGUUACUCGGAAUUACUGGGCGUAAAGCGUGCGUAGGUGGUGAGUUAAGUCUGUCGUGAAAGCCCCGGGCUCAACCUGGGAAUGGCGAUGGAUACUGGCUCGCUAGAGUGCGGUAGAGGAGAGGUGGAAUUCCCGGUGUAGCAGUGAAAUGCGUAGAGAUCGGGGAGGAACAUCAGUUGCGAAGGCGGCUCUCUGGACCAGCACUGACACUGAGGCACGAAAGCGUGGGGAGCAAACAGGGA
rnacentral:rRNA from 1 species